rnacentral:lncRNA from 10 species
GCUCUCGGGCAUCGGUUUCUCCCAGCAAAGCUUGGAGGGUUUAGCUGCGCGGAGAGCUCAGCGAGCUCUUCUGUGUCUGUUUGGGGCGUGUGGGCUCCGGGAGCGUGAGGACCGGGAAGCUAGGAGGCUCCUUCCCUUCUGGCGGCUCCCUCACUGAGACCGGGCGGUUUGGUUGCGGGGGAAGUGGAGACGAGCCACCCUUGACCUUUGACUGCAAGAACUCACCUUGAGCAGGAUAGAGGCACGUGGACGGUGACCCUCGGGAUGCAAUAAAUGCUGAGACAGAUCAGCAAACAUUGAGUGGGCCAGACACUGUUCUGAAAAAUACGCAGUCGACUUUUGAACAGCACAGGCUUGAACUGCAUGCGGCCACUAAUACUCGGACUUCCUUCUGCCUCUGCCAUCCCUAAGACAGCAAGACCCACCCCUCCUGCUCCUCAGCCUACUCGAUGUGAUGAUGAAUAGAGUUUAAAACAAUGCAGCCACAGAGGCGGACAGCUUUCCGUGGAAAAGAGUAGAUCUUUCAUGGAUGGUUGAAGUUGACAGGCAGGCAUCCUGUCUU